UACGUAGGGCGCAAGCGUUGUCCGGAAUUAUUGGGCGUAAAGAGCUCGUAGGCGGCUUGUCACGUCGGGUGUGAAAGCCCGGGGCUUAACCCCGGGUCUGCAUUCGAUACGGGCUAGCUAGAGUGUGGUAGGGGAGAUCGGAAUUCCUGGUGUAGCGGUGAAAUGCGCAGAUAUCAGGAGGAACACCGGUGGCGAAGGCGGCGUCCUGGACCAACACUGACACUGAUGAGCGAAAGCCAGGGGAGCAAACGGG
rnacentral:rRNA from 1 species